AUUUAUGUUACCCCCACUUCAAAUAAAAAGUGCCGAGGGAUGGAUUUCAUUGCUGCCCUGUGGCACUGUAGAAGCCAGGGCUGCAGUUGCAUUGUUCAUCACUGGUUUGUGUCACACAGAGGAUUUAUUGCAGGAAGAAUCUAUCUCCAAGAAAAUGAAUAGUCAAUAUGUGCGCUUUGAAGUGUUUGGAUGUGAAACUGAGGAACUAACAGACUUCUGGGAAAAGACAAUUGAAAAACAAACUAAGCAUCUGCAAAUUGAAAAAGAACGUCAACAGAGAAGUGCUCUGCCAAAACUCAGAACUGAAUGGAAGGAGAGGUUGGAAAAACGGAUACAAAUGAUGAAGACUCAAAAUGAAGAGCCAGCUAGUUGAAGGCUUCUUACACAUUUGGGAAAAGAAGGAAAAAUGUUUUGCAGAAGAAAACCAUAGUGUAUUGCAAACACCCAAUUUAUUUUUAUUGAUGAGCUUCAAUGAGAUUUAUUUUACAGUACCAUCAUCAUGGAGGGAGUUCAUAUGUGAAACCUCUAUUACUGCUUAUGAGACCUAUUAUCUAUGUGGACCCCUCGGAGAAAAUAAAUGUGCAUGGAUCCUAAAUUGUGGUUCCCUG
rnacentral:lncRNA from 1 species